rnacentral:rRNA from 1 species
AUUGAACGCUAGCGGGAUGCCUUACACAUGCAAGUCGAACGGCAGCACGGACUUCGGUCUGGUGGCGAGUGGCGAACGGGUGAGUAAUGUAUCGGAACGUGCCCAGUAGCGGGGGAUAACUACUCGAAAGAGUAGCUAAUACCGCAUACGCCCUACGGGGGAAAGGGGGGGAUCGCAAGACCUCUCACUAUUGGAGCGGCCGAUAUCGGAUUAGCUAGUUGGUGGGGUAAAGGCCCACCAAGGCGACGAUCCGUAGCUGGUUUGAGAGGACGACCAGCCACACUUGGACUGAGACACGGCCCAGACUCCUGCGGGAGGAAGCAGUGGGGAAUUUUGGACAAUGGGGGGCAACCCUGAUUCAGCCAUCCCGCGUGUGCGAUGAAGGCCUUCGGGUUGUAAAGCACUUUUGGCAGGAAAGAAAUCGCAUGGGUUAAUACCCUGUGUGGAUGACGGUACCUGCAGAAUAAGCACCGGCUAACUACGUGCCAGCCGCCGCGGUAA